UACAGAGGGUGCGAGCGUUAUUCGGAAUUACUGGGCGUAAAGCGUGCGUAGACGGCUUUCUAAGUCGGGUGUGAAAGCCCCGGGCUCAACCUGGGAAUUGCAUUCGAGACUGAAUAGCUAGGGUACGGUAGAGGGAAGCGGAAUUUCCGGUGUAGCGGUGAAAUGCGUAGAUAUCGGAAGGAACAUCAGUGGCGAAAGCGGCUUCCUGGACCAGUACCGACGUUCAGGCACGAAAGCGUGGGGAGCAAACAGG
rnacentral:rRNA from 1 species